rnacentral:rRNA from 1 species
GACGAACGCUGGCGGCGUGCCUAAUACAUGCAAGUCGAGCGGACAGAAGGGAGCUUGCUCCCGGAAGUUAGCGGCGGACGGGUGAGUAACACGUGGGCAACCUACCCUGUAGAUCGGGAUAACAUCGAGAAAUCGGUGCUAAUACCGGAUAAUCAUUUGAAGUGCAUGCUUCGAAUGUAAAAGAUGGCUCCGGCUAUCACUACGGGAUGGGCCCGCGGCGCAUUAGCUAGUUGGUAAGGUAAUGGCUUACCAAGGCAACGAUGCGUAGCCGACCUGAGGGGGGGAUGGGCCACACUGGGACUGAGACACGGCCCAGACUCCUACGGGAGGCAGCAGUAGGGAAUCUUCCGCAAUGGACAAAAGUCUGACGGAGCAACGCCGCGUGAGUGAUGAAGGUUUUCGGAUCGUAAAGCUCUGUUGUUAGGGAAGAACAAGUGCCGUUUGAAUAAGGCGGCACCUUGACGGUACCUAACCAGAAAGCCACGGCUAACUACGUGCCAGCCGCCGCAGUAAGAC